GCACCGGUGGUGUCCGGGACACGCCGCCUUCGAAUUGUAUAGUGUUGAAAUAUGGAGAUUCAGGCGGAGAUGGGGUUCGACUCCCCGCUGGUGCA